rnacentral:rRNA from 1 species
UUGACCUCGAAUCAGGUAGGAAUACCCGCUGAACUUAAGCAUAUCAAUAAGCGGAGGAAAAGAAACCAACAGGGAUUGCCCCAGUAACGGCGAGUGAAGCGGCAACAGCUCAAAUUUGAAAUCUGGCUCUCGGGCCCGAGUUGUAAUUUGUAGAGGAUGCUUUUGGUGAGGUGCCUUCCGAGUUCCCUGGAACGGGACGCCAUAGAGGGUGAGAGCCCCGUCUGGUUGGACGCCGAACCUCUGUAAAGCUCCUUCGACGAGUCGAGUAGUUUGGGAAUGCUGCUCUAAAUGGGAGGUAUAUGUCUUCUAAAGCUAA